CGUGCAUUACGGACGUUCCAAAGUUAUAUAUAUUCCUAACAAGUGUAAAAACAAACCAAACUAUAUGUCAACACUGAUGUUGAAGGGAGGUUCACACUUACUGUCUCGAGUUGCAUAGCCUAAUUUUCAGCUUACACGCAUCACUGCAAUAAUUCUAAAAUGCGUGCAUGUGUUGUAAGUUAUGCAGGGCAAAAUUUUUGUCAGCUCAUUUUUCUAAUAGAAAGUCCUUCAUAAAGUUUUUUUUGCAAAAAGUUAAACGAGGCCAUUAGCACUUUAUAAAAUACUGUGAGCUAUCUCACAGCAAUAACAGUAACUCAGUGACGAGCUUAUAUGCAAUAGUGUAAUUGUAUAUAAAAAUGUUUGUGCUUUGCUUUGGAUGACCGGUCAGAAAGUAACUGAUAUCAGUAUUUCAUUUGCAGCUGUUGCACCAGUGAAGGAUGUCUGUGUGCCGCCUUGCAUUCAGUUUCUCAGUCAUGGGGGCCUGCUUGCAACUCCAGUGGCAAAGCAGUCUUGCAUUGUGCUAUUUGUUCUGGAAGGACACAAGCAUUGAGGAGCCAUUUGACCUGCCACUACACUGAUACGGUAUUUGGCAAAGGCAGGAGGCAUCUGCAAGCAACCAAUCAUUCCGAUUCUCAACCAAUCCUUCUAGUCAGCCCAUUUCUAGUGUCUUAUCUUGCAAGUUUUUUUCAGUAAAGCACAAUAAACACG